AGAGUUUGAUCAUGGCUCAGAGUGAACGCUGGUGGCGUGCCUAACACAUGCAAGUCGAACGAUGAUUGGAGAGCUUGCUCUUCAUGAUUAGUGGCGCACGGGUGAGUAACGCAUAGGUAAUGUGCCCCUUAGUUCGGGAUAGCCACUGGAAACGGUGAUUAAUACCGGAUACUCCUUCUCGUUAUAGGACGAGUCGGGAAAGUUUUUCGCUAAGGGAUCAGCCUAUGUCCUAUCAGUUAGUUGGUGAGGUAAUGGCUCACCAAGACUAUGACGGGUAUCUGGUUUGAGAGGAUGAUCAGACACACUGGAACUGAGACACGGUCCAGACUCCUACGGGAGGCAGCAGUGAGGAAUAUUGCACAAUGGAGGAAACUCUGAUGCAGCAACGCCGCGUGGAGGAUGACGCAUUUCGGUGUGUAAACUCCUUUUAAGAGGGAAGAUAAUGACGGUACCUCUUGAAUAAGCACCGGCUAACUCCGUGCCAGCAGCCGCGGUAAUACGGAGGGUGCAAGUGUUACUCGGAAUCACUGGGCGUAAAGGGUGCGUAGGCUGGCUUUUAAGUCAGAUGUGAAAUCCAAUGGCUUAACCAUUGAACUGCAUUUGAAACUGGGAGCCUAGAGUUCAGAAGGGGCAGAUGGAAUUAGUGGUGUAGGGGUAAAAUCCGUAGAUAUCACUAGGAAUAUCAAAAGCGAAGGCGAUCUGCUGGGAUGAUACUGACGCUGAGGCACGAAAGCGUGGGGAGCAAACAGGAUUAGAUACCCUGGUAGUCCACGCCCUAAACGAUGAAUGCUAGUCGUCGGGGAGCUCGUCUCUUCGGUGAUGCACUUAACAGAUUAAGCAUUCCGCCUGGGGAGUACGGUCGCAAGAUUAAAACUCAAAGGAAUAGACGGGGACCCGCACAAGUGGUGGAGCAUGUGGUUUAAUUCGAAGAUACACGAAGAACCUUACCUGGCCUUGACAUGGUAGGAACCCUUAAGAGAUUAGGGGGUGCUAGCUUGCUAGAACCUACACACAGGUGCUGCACGGCUGUCGUCAGCUCGUGUCGUGAGAUGUUGGGUUAAGUCCCGCAACGAGCGCAACCCU
rnacentral:rRNA from 1 species